CCAGCCAAAAUCCCGCUCCCGGGGCUCGCUGGAUGCGAGCGGGCGGCGCAGGAGACUGGACGAGUGUUUCACAGGAAAUUGGUCAGUGCAUCCUCUGGCAGGAAUUGGGAAAGGCGCUGCGCUCUGCAAGUCUCCCCGGCAGCUGCCGAAUACAAGCCAGAGAUCUUUCCUAAUUCUUUAUGUCCCUGAGACCUCUUUCCUAUUUCUCUACCUCACAUUUCUUGGUCACUACUAUCUUCAUUAAAAAGAUGUUCAAUAAAAUCCGUGGGUUGCA